GUCUGCUAUGGUCUGCCCCACCAUUGUAUUUCAGAAGUACAUAACAUAUUUGAUUUCAUAGCUGGCAGAAGGCUUUGUCUCGGGAUGAAUUGUACUCUGAGUCUCACCCAUAUCUGAUUUAGAAGGUAUUUAGAUGAGUCUCUAGGGUUUUGGAUUUUUAAGUGCAUGCUAGCACAGGUUAGGACUUUUGGAGCUAUUGAGAUGGAAUGGAAAAAAUUUUUAUGUGAGGACACAAACUAGGAGGUAAGGGGGUGGGGUGCUAAGUUUUGGAUGUUUGUUUCUUUCAAAAGUUAAUUUACUAGAAAUAUUGUAAUGGUAUUAAGAGGUGUGGCCUUUGGGAGACAAGUAGAUCAUGAGGGCUCCACCUUCAUAAAUGAGAUUAGAGCUUUUAUAAGAGUUCAAAAAGAGCUUGUUUACCCUUCUGCUGCAUGAGUGCAGCUAGAAGGUGCCAUUUGUAAGUGCUCAUACCUACUGUGGAAGACAGGAUUUUUUUUGGUAAAGAAGGGUUUGAGGAGAAUGUCACAAUAAGAGCUUGAAGAUUUGAAGAAAAUGAAUGGGUGCAAAAAAUGAAAGUAUUAGAAGGCACAUCACCAUAGACUAUCCAUCCUCUUAAAAUACAAACCAAAGAGGUCAAGUGAUUUGGAUAUAUCUUGAAUUGCUGAGCUGUGCACAAAUGAUAGUAAAUUCUGGACACUGUGAAUCUUGAGUAGAAUUCGAAUCUAAAAGCACUAUUUCUUUUUUUAGUUCUAUUUUGGAGGCUCAACAUUUUGUUCUAUUUAGGAGUUCUUUCAAAGUCAUCUCUCAAGACCCAGUUCUAGAGUUACCAUCUCAGCUGAUACACCAUGUGCUCCAGGAAAUGCUCCCUUUUCUCUCCAUAAUAUCACCAUCCAGGGUCUUCCAGCAAGUGGGCUGGGCCAUAUCCCCCAGUGCUGGGUGCUGCCCUCAUGUCUGACAGCUGCUGAGUAGACAAAGGAAGAGGCGACUGUCAGAUAGAUGUCCUUUGAAGAGCUCUUCUUUCUCAAACGCCUGUGUCAUUUGAUUUGAAGCAAUUGUGCCACAUUUGAGACUCAUCUCUCCUAAGAAAACAUGAAAGUGAUCAUUAACGAGGAC
rnacentral:lncRNA from 1 species